rnacentral:misc_RNA from 1 species
GAUGAAGAACGUAGUGAAAUGCGAUAAUUAAUGUGAAUUGCAGAAUUCAGUGAAUCAUCGAGUCUUUGAACGCACAUUGCGCCCCCUGGUAUUCCGGGGGGCAUGCCUGUCCGAGCGUCAUUGCUGCCCUCAAGCACGGCUUGUGUGUUGGGCUUCCGCCCCUGGCAACGGGGACGGGCCCAAAAGGCAGUGGCGGCACCAUGUCUGGUCCUCGAGCGUAUGGGGCUUUGUCACCCGCUCCCGUAGGUCCAGCUGGCAGCUAGCCUCGCAACCAAUCUUUUUAACCAGGUUGACCUCGGAUCAGGUAGGGAUACCCGCUGAACUUAAGCAUAUCAAUAAGCGGAGGA